UCUGAAGCUUCUUCGGGAAGCUUUGUCACUGCCAAGUGGUGCUGGGUUAAUUCGCCUGCUCGCUCCCUCCCUUAUCUCUAUGCAUUCAUUUUCAUUCAUUUCGUUUCAGCACUUCUCUUCUCCGUCGCCGUCGCUGUUGUUAUUUUCGUCGCCGCCUCCGUGGCUGUCGCUGUGGCCAUCUCCGUCGCCGUCUCCGUGGCUGUCGCUGUGGCCAUCUCCGUCGCCGUUGCCCUCGCUGGAAUUUUGGUUCUCCGAUGAGAAAAUCCACUAGACUCUCCGCCAUCGGCCUCGUACAGGCUCCAGAGCCGAAGAAGCCUUUCAGCACUCGAUUUUCGCUGAGGUCGUUCGCGAAGCGCGUGCAGCUGCUCACACCGGAGCAGAGAUCCGCUAUUUCGAGAACCGGCUUCGGGAACCUUCUAUCCGUUCCAAACCACUGCCUGAACAAGGUGUUUCUCACAGAGCUUAUGGAGGCGUGGAGCAGCGGGAGCCGCGCCUUCGUGCUACAUUCCGGCGGCGAAAUCCGAAUGACACCGCUGGACGCGGCGCUGAUCCUGGGCCUUCCGGUGACCGGUAACCCCGUGAACUUGACAGAACAGGAACCCUUCUCCGAUUUGGAAGAGUCGUACGGAGCAACGAAAGUGAAGAGGAAGGUGGCCAUGAGUUUUCUCGAGAAUAGGCUCGAUUCAAUUGGGGAUGCUGUGAGUGAUGAUUUUGUGCGGAGCUUUUUGCUCUACACGAUUGGAACGUUUCUUGCUUCGAACGACGGGAAGGUAGAUUCGCGGUACUUGCGGUUUCUCGGGGAUGUGGGGGAGGUUUCAGGGUUUGCUUGGGGCGCUGCUGUUAUUGAUGAUUUGUGUCAGUGGCUGGAUAAGAGAAAGGAGCAGAAUGUCCAGUAUGUGGGAGGUUGUCUCAUCUUUCUUCAAACAUGGUCCUAUGAACAUUUUGACGUAGCAGCAAGGCCACAACUGCAAGAUCAUGAUUUCACCUUUCCUCGCAUGUGUCGAUGGGAUAAUAUUAAAUCUAACCAAAGACAACAGGGUACUUCAUGGUUUAAAGAGCUGGAUGAUGAUCAGGUGAUUUGGAAGCUCCAACCUACUGCUGGAGAGUUGCAAAUAGAGAUAAUUAAAGAAGCACUGGAGUUGAUAGGUGACAACAAAGAGCUUCGAAGUGCAGAAAGCCGUUCGACAUGCACUCCAUCUAGCGUUUCUGAUGUAGAUUCAGGGUGUCGGCAUAGUAUCAACGGUGAGGUAUGCAGAGAAGACGAGGAUAAUAUGGAGAAUCAGGUAGUGGAGGACACUCCCACAAGGUCGAGCACUAGUCAUGAAAAAUGUAAAAAGCAGAUCAAUCUCGGGAACUUGGUAGUGUUGGACACUCCCCCAAGUUUAAUCAUCUGCGACAAAGUACGUGGAGAGCAAGAAAUGGAUCCUGAAAAUCUAGUGGUAGUUGAGGAUCCCCCCACAAUUAUCAGUAUUCCUGAUGAAGUAGGCGGACAUACAGAGUUCAACGGUGAAGAACUCAUAGUGAUGGAUACUCCCCCGGAUUUAACAAUUUGUGACAAAGUACGUAGAGAGCAAGAAAUCAAUCUUGAAAAACUAAAAAUGGUUGUUGAGGACACCCCCCCAACUAGCAGUUUUUCUGACGAACUCAGUGGUGAUCAAGAAUUCAAGUGUGAGAAACUCUUUGUGGAGGAUUCUCCUGCAAAGUUGAGCUUUUAUGAUCAGGAUGAUGUUAUAAGACAGAAGAAUGUUACAUUACAAGAGGAAAACACUGAAUUGAAGGUGAAACUAGACCAAUUAAUGGAGGAAAAUGAACUUAUCCGUACGCAGAUUUUAUCAAAUAUUCAAUUUGAAGAGCAGAAUGCUGAGUUAAAGAAAGAGCUGGACUUAUUGAGAGAAGAAAACAGAAUUUUAAGAUUGUCACUAAGUAGUUUUCUGGACCGAAUGGAUCGACAUAUUUUGGAUUUCGAAUCUAAUGCAACUGAGUGAACAUUGAAUUUCACCUCAUAACUUUACAAGCUGCUUAUAGAGCCAGAGCUGUGACAACCAAAGAACCUCUGAACUUUCAGACGUUGCUGCAGCCGCAACAUUAGUUCUUCCUCGAACUAUAGUGUGUACACAUAUUGUAAGUUGAUUGUACAUGUACUCCAAACAGAUGUCGGAGUUCAGAUGGUAUAAUUAUGCUUUUUUUGAGCAUUAUGAGGCGAGUCACUGCAAGUUUCGCUUGGUACGUUCAUUAUGUUUUAUCAGCAAGUCCAUCUCCUACUGCUACUAGCCUUUUCUUGUUGCUUAGAGCAACAUUGCUGCUACUCACAGAGGCUUUAGGCAUGGCUUGAACAGGAAGAAAUCAGCAAUGGCACCCAGCGGUUGAAGGUGUCGUUGUUUGAUACUAUGUAAUUCAAUGGCCUGCAGUAUAUAGGUCUGUGUUUGGUGUGGAUAUAUCCGAUGUUUUUCAUGACUGGGCAGCGCAUUCAGUUUUGUUAUGGCGAUGAAGUAUGCUGAAUUGAUGAGAUUGAGGGUUCGUGUGCUGAAUUUUUAAUAGUGAUACUUGAAUGGCAUUGUUGGAUCUAUGAUUAAAGUAUUUGAAGAAUCUAAUCAUUUUCCUUGAAGAUUUGCAAUAAUCCUUGAAGACUUGGAUAUGUUUUUGGUUAAUGUGAUUUGAUUAGGACACCAUUGUAAGUUUUCUCUUAGGUUCAUCUUACAUUGCAAUAUUUAGAAAGCUUAUCUGAAUGUAUUAUAACUUUUUCUGGUCAUAGGUUGUAGUUCUUUAAUUUAUUCAAAGAUUUUUUUA